CCAAAAUGGGAAAGUUAGACUUUGCUUCUGGCAGGCAGAGAAGGCAAUGAGACAAAGCACAGAAAUGAGCUUUUGAAGAGUUUUCUAAGCAGGACUGGCUAGGCAGCCUUUUUUUUUGUGAGAGGAGUUAGCUGUAGGAUUAGAUGCCAGAGAGGAUCCUCUCACAUGCUUGUACUUGGAAUAUUAAAUCAUCUAAUUUUAGAAUGAAUUUGUUUGCUUCUCUGUGUCGUAUUCUCUUCUGGUCCUGUCCUUUCUGUCUCUUCCGUCCACAAGGAAUGGGAGGAGAAAAGCUCCAAGAUCAGUUCCUCACCUAGACUGUAUGGUCUCCGCAGGGGUGGGCUGGCACGGUCUGUUCUCUGAUGUGUGCUCGUGCAACAAUGUCUUGAAUCACAGCUACCUCUGGGCUGCUAAGUCCCGUUCCAGAGAUAAUCAGUGAUGCCAGAAUUAGCAGUGGGUAGGGGACUUAGAACCUCCUUUUGCCUCUGUUUUCCUGGCCAAUACUCAGCAGCAAGCCAGAAGAGGACACGUGUCCCUCUCCUCAGAGUUUUUUAUUAUUUAUACUGCACGUUUCACACUUCCUCUUGUAUGGAAGAAACAUAAUUGUAUUUUUUCUUCCCCAAAAAGCUUUCUUUCUAAGCCUCAGUAAUACCAAUCAGGCUCAAGGAAGAAUCUUACAGAGAAAAGAAAUGGACAGUGAGGCUGCAAGAUGUCUGGAACAGCUGUGCACAUGGGAGUGAUACAGAUUCCUAUUUUAGUCUGUACUCUGACGCUGGAUGACUUCAUAAUUGUGCUUGGUGGUGGCAUGUUUCUGGCUUGGCAGUUGGGAUCUCAAUGUGCUUUCUUUUUUGACAUACUUCCAGGCUUACUCUUCCUUUCUCAAGUCAAGCACAGUUUUCUUAUCACCGUGCAGCUGCCCUACUGGACUUUUUCUUUUGUAUUUGCUCCUGAUGAUUUCACUGAGGGGUUGAACAGCUGACGCUUAAUACAUGGCACUACCUUGCCAGGUAUUGCACAAUAAAUGCAAAUACAGCUCACA
rnacentral:lncRNA from 1 species